GUAGGUGAACCUGCGGAAGGAUCAUUAACACGUGAUACUCACGUAUUAACCACUUGUGAAAUUGUUAUCAGUCCCGUGAUCGAAUCGAGGUGGCAAUGGGAACAAUGGUGCGGGCUGCGUUCACGCGCAGCUCUGACCUGUUGUCUAGGCAUCAGAUGCCGAGCCCUUUUCGAUUGUGGUAGAUGAAGUUCGGGAGCUUAAUAAUGAUUGCACCUUAUCUUGCUUCUGGCCUGAGCCCGCUCACCCCUUUUAUUAUUAUAACUAAUCUGUAUGUCUAUUUGAAUUCCUGACUUCGGUUGGUCGAGUUCGUUUAGAUGUCGUAAAUUACAAAUACGAAACAACUCUUAGCAACGGAUAUCUUGGUUCUC
rnacentral:misc_RNA from 1 species